CUUAACUGUUUAUAGGAGAUCCAACCUCAAGGUGGUGUUUGCCCUACAGGUUAUGAGAAUAGUUAGAGAAAGAAUCUACUCAAUCAUACUCCAGAGAGAAGAAGGUCAUAGGGCAGGAAGAUGAGUAACUUCUAGAGUACCUGAGUUAUAUCCAGGUCAUAAAUGACCUGUAGGAUCUAGCAUCAUGCUUAUCUAAGUAGGUUUUUCUUUUUCUCUUUUUUAAUUGCUGAUCAUCUUACCCCAUAAGGUUGCUCCAUAUUCUCUCCUUAAAUUCAUUACUACAUAGCAGACAGUAAGAACUUCUUUAUAAACUCCAUUCCAGAGAGACCAAAACUCAGCCAGAAAUAGACAUUUCUCUUCCAAAAUGAUUGUAAAGAAGUCUUUAAGUUUUCUGUCUCUAUGGUGACAGCUUGAUGAAGGUAGCUGAGGACUGGUCCAUGAAAUAUGCCUUGCCCUUUUAAAUUCUAUAAUAACCACUCAUCAUGAGCUCACAGACACCAAUCAUUGCUGCGUAACAGCAAUCACUUCACGACUACUGAACCAGAGCUGGUGGGAAGCAGAAGAAAGAAAAUGUCCAAACAAUAUUGCACUUAAUUCAUUCCUUCUUGUCCUUUUGCCCUGUAGAUAUAGUUGAGUCUUGCUUUACCGACAUACAGUUAAAUGCUGCAUGUUGUCAAAUAUAUAGUCCAAACAUUAGCUCUUAGGCAACAAAAUUUGAGCUUCUAUUAUGUACCAGAUAUUGGGCUCUUUACAAAUACUCUAUCAUUGUCAAUAAAUACUUGCAAAUGAUGAUAAGAACACUAAUGUAGGGGCUGGGGUCGUGUGAGGCACUGGGUUCGAUCCUCAGCACUACAUACAAAAACAAAGUUAUUUUUAAAAAAAAGAACACUAAUGUAAAUCAAAGGGGGGAUGUUUUCGCUGAUAUGUGGAAGUUAAUCCACAAAGAGGGGUGGGGAGAUAGAAGUUCAAUGGAGUAGACAAAGGGGAGGUGGGGGGAUGGAGAAAGAAACAGAAAAGACAGUAGAAUGAAUAUG
rnacentral:lncRNA from 1 species